rnacentral:rRNA from 1 species
UAGGGAAUCUUCCGCAAUGGGCGAAAGCCUGACGGAGCAACGCCGCGUGAGUGAUGAAGGUCUUCGGAUCGUAAAACUCUGUUAUUAGGGAAGAACAUAUGUGUAAGUAACUGUGCACAUCUUGACGGUACCUAAUCAGAAAGCCACGGCUAACUACGUGCCAGCAGCCGCGGUAAUACGUAGGUGGCAAGCGUUAUCCGGAAUUAUUGGGCGUAAAGCGCGCGUAGGCGGUUUUUUAAGUCUGAUGUGAAAGCCCACGGCUCAACCGUGGAGGGUCAUUGGAAACUGGAAAACUUGAGUGCAGAAGAGGAAAGUGGAAUUCCAUGUGUAGCGGUGAAAUGCGCAGAGAUAUGGAGGAACACCAGUGGCGAAGGCGACUUUCUGGUCUGUAACUGACGCUGAUGUGCGAAAGCGUGGGGAUCAAACAGGAUUAGAUACCCUGGUAGUCCACGCCGUAAACGAUGAGUGCUAAGUGUUAGGGGGUUUCCGCCCCUUAGUGCUGCAGCUAACGCAUUAAGCACUCCGCCUGGGGAGUACGACACAGCGAGAGGUUGAAACUC